ACCACUGACCAACCGCGAUCCUACGCUUUAAACAAUAUCUUUCACCCCCCUGGUUUUUUUCACAAAUAUAAAUAUUUUGGUUUUAAUAGUUUGUCUUUGAACUGAAAAUCUUGAUAUUUUUCAUCAAUUUCGUCUGUUUUACAAAGUCAGGGAAGACGGUACAUUUUUGCUGUGCCUGUUAUGGCUCUAAAAGGAGAAUAUUACCGGUAAGAUUCAGAUUUUUUUACUUUCUCGCUUGGCAACGUUGCCAUAUAUCUUACAAACACUCGUGGAUAUAUGUCAAAACCUGAUGCUAUAUUAAAACUUCGAGUAUUACUAGUUACAGCAGUUUUUUCAUUUCUACAUUGACAUUGUAGUUUUAAGCAAGUUUUCCUGGACAAACUCUUUCCUGUCUUGUUUUAUUAAACUCAUUUCUUUGGUUUCAUGGUGCUUCGGUUUGUGUUUUGUUUUUAAAAUUGUUUAUUGAUUAGGUUUUUAAGUUUUGCCAGGUUUUUGAAAUAGCAGCUAUCUACUGUGUAGCUUUGUAUUUUAUACAGGACAUGUAGGGUGUGAGUGCACAGCCAACCUUUCCAGCACUCUCCAAAAGUUCAGCAUCAAGCAGUUUAUAUUAUUUAACCCAUUGAGGGCCAGAACAUUUAACUAUAGACACAUGAGCAGAUAGCCUGAUUAAUCCAUUGAGGGCCAGCACUCACCCCUUGAUGAGUAAAAUAACCUGGCAUUUGACAGAGUGAAAUAAUAAAGUAGGGUGCAUCAGGACACAAUGCGGCUUACUGGGUUGAACAUGAGUUUUAUGAUUUGUAGCACUACCCACAUUGUAUUAUUAACCCUUUAAGUGGCAAUGUGCCCAGAUGCGCCCUACAUUAUUAUUUUACUCUGUCUAACGCUGGACAAUUUUACUCGUCACGGGGAAGGUGCUGCCACUCAACAUAUUUAGGUUAAUUCCGAUCUUCGAUUUAGCUGGAAUGACCCAAUACAUGCCAUUUGCUACUGUAAAAUUGUAAACAUGCCGGAUUUUUUUUAUCUAGGCGCUGAUACUGAAAUGUGAAAAAGAAAGCCACCCGAGGUCUUAAAUGUUCAAAUAUCAAGAGUGGUGUUGUAGACAUCAGACAUGUAGUGGUGCACCAUAUGUUAAAAUUAAAUAUUGUCCAACUUACAAAAGUAAGGGCCCUGGCCAGAAUUCCUGCCUGAACUGGAAAGAUAACUUCAUUUUAUCAUUGCUAUCAGACUGUGAUAAACAUAGAAUCAUGUUAUUGUCAGUAGUGUUUUUAAAUACAAUAUGAAUGUUUACAGUUAUAAUUAUAACUUGUAUGGUUGUAUAUAUAGUUUGUAAAACUUUUUCUUGCUGAUUUAUAAUUAUUCUUUUAAGAAGGUAUAAACAAAAUAGUGAAAACCCCUGGGGGUAAUGUAGGGUAAAGGAGGGAGGGUAUCUAUUUAUCUGUGAAUUAAUGAUAAUUUAUUUCAAGCACACAGGGCUGGA